ACAGUGGGGCAGACUGACCAUGGAGCGUGUGUCUGAGUGGAGGGAGAUGGUGGAUCAUGGCAGGGCUGGUGGCGAAGAGGACACUGGGAAAUCUGUCAAGGCUGCCCUGGUGAGCGGAUCAGGGAGAGACCACUGGUUUUCCUGUAUCUUGUAAAAUGUCUGCAAAGGCUGUACUCCUGUGUAAUCAGAUGGGGAAAGUGGGCCACUUAGAAGCUAAAUAGCUUGCUCAACAUUUCCUGGCUAGUUAGCGGCGAAGUCCGGGUUUAAACCCAGGCUACCUGGCUCCAGAGUCUAUGCUAUACGAAACUAAACCGGUGCCGAGACUACUGAGCAAGAUUUCAUGUUCUACUGUGGAGCCUGAGUGCCUGCAAGACGUCCUCUAGUGAGUGAGCAAGAUGAGCUACCAAAUCUUAGUUCAUUAUUAGCAUCCACAACAGCCUGCAGAGAGAAGAGAGCUGGCCUGAGCAGUUCAAAUUCCAGGGAACUCCCCCAAGAACAACAGAAAGAUCGGUGUCUGGAGCCGCUUCCAACCGUGGUUUAUCUUUAAACCAGAAAGUUGGGAAACUGAGGUCAUUGUUUGUGAGAUGUGUACAGAAUCAGCUGUGUCUUCAUGAGACCAGCAGUGUUGCAAACACAGACAUCUGUGGACACUUCGCUUAUUAGAGAGGAUGCAAAGUCUUUAAAAGGAUAAAAGAAGUCAAAGUCCUCCCAAGAGCUGAAUGGUGGAGGAAGGACACUUGGAAGAGAAAGAGGACAGACUCUGAACUUUUGGAGCCAAACAGACCCAGGCUGUGCCUGGGAGAGGAAGUCAGACGUCAGGAGGGAGGGACGGCCACUCAUAACCGACGAGUCACGAGGAAGGGAGACGACUUGUCCAAGAGAUGGAGAAACAACGUCCUGACAGAAUGAACAGUGUCUCACCAUGUGAAGAAAAGAAAAAGGUGACCACUCCAGGUAAAGGAGUGAGACAAACAUGCCACUGUUAAGCUUGUGAAGACCACCUGAGCACUAGAUCAAGGAAAGGAGGCUUUACAACCACGAGAACAAACAUAAAAACAACCAACAAAAACCAGAAGCUAUUCUUCUACUUCUGCAUUAUUUAAGUAAUAUGAGAUUACUCAGUCCAGAAGUUACACUGAAACCUAAAAACAUAGUUAUUUGUGAAUAUAAUUUAGUAGAUUAAAUGUCCUUACUAUCAAGAUGAUGCAGUGAAAGAGACAUGAAAGAUACCUGUUCAAAUACCAUGGGUAGCUGGCAUACUACAGACAUGUGGGGCAGAGUGAGAGAUUCGGUCCU